CUGUGAAAUAAAGUGAAAGAGCAGCUCACAGAUCAGAGGGAAGUCACAUCAGGAGAACAUUAAUUAUUUGUAGCAUGCGAUCCCCUCGUGUUUUCAGUCUGUGAAACAGCUGUUUGUCUCUUCACCAAGCAGUGAUGGCAGCAGCAGCGUUCAGAAGCAGAGGACUGGCUGGUGUCAGAAACACCAACGUUUUAAUCCUCAUCUUUCUGCUGCCCUGGUUUAUGUCACAAAUUCACUGACGAAAGCAGAAUACAAGAAGAAACAAGCAAGUGAACUUGAUGAAAAACUACAGUUUCUUCAGUCUUUGGAAGAACUAAUAAAGACAUCAUCAUUUUUUGAGGAUUUUCCUGCAAUGAUGGACGUAGUAAAUAGUUUGAGACGCUUCUACAAGAGAACCAUCAUCCCAUCAGACAGAGAGGAAGAAAAAAAAUGGUGAAAAUGGGGAAACAAAAGUGGAAAACAUGAAAAUCCUCCUAAAACUCAACAGAAUAAACUUUAAAAGUUUCUAUAGAAAAAUAAUAAUACAAAAAAAAUCAUAAAAUAAUGAUAAAUCUCAUCAUUAACUCAUUCACUGCCAGCCAUUGGCAGUGAAUGAGAUCUUCUAUUUAACUUUGAAUACUCAACAACAACAAUGAAGGUUAGCCCUGAAUACUUGUCCUAGAUUAAAUAAAUUAU